AAAUCACGUGACGAGGCGGACGCGACCCUGAGCGCCGCAUAAAGACCUCAGCGCCGUCUGCCUUUGCUUCAGUCUGGAUCGAGCCCCGUCCGAGCAGUGACGUCGAAGCCACGAUGAAGUGUUUGGUGUUGGCGAUCGUGUUGGCGAUGGUUUCCCGUGGGACCUGCAGCUCCUAUCUCCCGCCAGUCCAAGGAGCCGGGUCGUGUCCGCCCAAUUUCUCGGUUAUCUUCGCCACCUUCCCCGUCGGACAGGCACCCAGGCUGUGCCAGAGGAACGCCGACUGCCGAGGCGGGAGGAUCUGCUGUCCCGAUGCAGCCACGCCCGAUAGUUACUGUCUCUUCCCCGUAGCAGGAGGAGGCAAUCCUUUCGGCUAAUACGUGUGGAGCGGAGAGAUGCAGUCGCCAUUGUUGAUUUAACGACUACUACCAGGAUUGGAUUACGACAUGAGUCUUAGAAAUGGAAUUUGUCUUUAACACCCUGGCCCUUUUCAGACACACAGGCUCUUCGUUAUGGACGCUUUUUGGUGUUAGAAGACGCCGUUG